CCGGGAUUGGUGGGAGGAUCGUGGGGGAGCGGCAGCUCAGGACGGAAUACGGCAAUGACCGCCCCGGUCGCGAGGGUGACCCUGCCCCGGGCUGCUGUGGGGGCGCAAGGACCCUUUCACUUUACGGCGAGAUUAAGCUCAGGGUCCAGUUCUGAGCAAAAAGUGUCAAGGAGCCUUUUUGCAACCUCCUAUACUAUUGAAACAGAUUCUGUGCCCUUUAAAGGAGAUAAUAACUAACAUCUGGGGAGCGCUUCACAAUUUAGAAAAGGCCUUUCACACACAGGCCUGUUUCAUCUUCACAACAAUCUUAUAAAACAGAUACAUUGUUCCCAUUUCCCAAAUAAUGAAACGGAAGCGCCGAAAAUAUCUCCUAUAGGGCUCUUCAAACUGUGAUCAACUUAGUAAAUGAUGUUGACAGUGGAAGUGUGAUCAUUUUAUUUUCCUGCCUUUGGAAUUGAAGAAAGUAAUUUUGCAAAAAUUUUGUUGAAGAUGAUGUAGCUUUGGUUCAGAGAGUUCCAAGUCUCUUCUUCGGCCUCUCAAACAUGGUACCAUCCCUAAUGAAGUCAACAGGGGUCCAGCAUGACAGGAUGGAAGUAAAAGUGUCAGCACCUAUGUGAGUCCCAAGAGGGGAAAUUAGAAACAAAAAGGAAGAAGAGGACAUAGGCCAGGCACGGUGGCUCACGCCUGUAAUCCCAACACUUUGGGAGGCCGAGGUGGGCAGAUCACCUGAGGUCAGGAGUUCAAGACCAGCCUGGUCAACAUGGCAAAAGCCCAUCUCUACUAAAAAAUACAAAAAAUUAGCCAGGCGUGGUGGUGGGAGCCUGUAAUCCCACCUACUCGGGAGGCUGAGGCAGGAGAAUUGCUUCAAUCUGGGAGGCAGAGGUUGCAGUGAGCUGAGAUCGUGCCAUUGCACUCCAGCCUGGGCGACAGAGUAAGACUCUGUCUCAGAAAAAAAAGGAAAAAAAAAGAUGAUAUAGUCAAAGAAAUAACAUUAAAUUUCUUAUAAUUUAAGAUGAAUGAUUUCAGAUUGAAAAGUUUAUAAAGGUGCCAAAGAGAAAAGGAAAGAUCCACACUAGAUACAUUAGAAUGAAAUGUCAAAGUAACAUACAUAAAGAAGAAAUUCUGAAAUCUUCUAGAAAGAACGAACAUGUUAUCUAUGAAGGAACAAGGAUCAUAUUGAUAUUAGAUUUCUCAACAGCACAUGUGCUGCAAGAAGACAAAGGAGUAAUAUUUAUUAAGUAUUGUGAAACAAACCUAGAGCUUAGAAUUUCAUAUUUAAAAUUCUAAAUAAAUUAUCAUUCAAAUUGAUAUAGUUUGGGGGCCGGGUGUGGUGGCUCACGCCUAUAAUCCCAGCACUUUGGGAGACUAAGGCGGGCAGAUCACUUGAGCUCAGGAAUUUGAGACCAGCCUGGCAAACAGGGCAAAACCCCAUCUCAAAAUACAAAAAUUAGCUAGAUGUGGUGGUGCAUGCCCAUAAUCCCAGCUACUUGGGAGGCUGAGGCACGAGAAUUGCUUGAACUUGGGAGACGGAGGUUGCAGUGAGCCAACAUCGUGCCAUUGCACUCCAGCCUGGGCGACAGAGUGAGACUUGGUCUCGUAUAUAUAUGAGACUGACAAAUUGAUAGUUUGGAUAUAUGUCCCUGCCCCAGUCUCAUGUUGAACUGUAAUCUGCAAUGUUGGAGGUGGGGCCUGGUGGGAGGUGGUUGGAUCAUGGGGGCAGAUUUCCAUGAAUGGUUUAACACCAUCUUCCUGGUUUGUCCUCAUGACAGUGAGUGAGUUCUUGAGAGAACUCAUCAUUUAAAAAUGUGUGGCACUUCCUCUCUUUCUCUCUUGCUCCUGCUCUGGGCAUGUGACGUGCCUGCUCCCCCUUUGCCUACUGCCAUAAUUCAGUUUCCUGAGGCCUCCCAAGAAGAUAAGCCGAUGCCAGCACCAUGCUUC